AUCAAUGUGGAUGUUAUUUAAAGCAUUGCUUAUUAAAUCAAAGCAUAACUGUAGCUUAAAAAUGAAUUAUAGCUUCUCAUAGAGACUCUCUUCCAGAGUACAGUAUAGAACGGAAAAAAAAAAAAAAAAAGAGUAACUAUACAGUGGAGAAACCUGACAAGCACUGCCUUGGCCAAAUGACCAACGUUACUAUCAACAGCGAUAAAUAUUAUUGAUGGGCAUUCAUCAAGAUCAACAUACCUGCCAAGGCAAACCCUGUGAGCCCUGUGACUGGCCAUGUGGACUCGACAUCCUCCUUGUCCGCCGUCCACUCACUUGCAAACUGGUGUCAAUGAAGGUAACAUUUUGUGGUAAUGGCAACCAUAUGGGCUGGUGACUGCUGUCAGUAAAAAUAGCCCACAUGGCCUGUGUGGCCAGACACAACGUCAAGCUAAGAGAAGGAGACAGAAAGCUGUGUGAAGGAAAGAAAAAAAAAUAGUUUUAAAAGACUGGAGACGGAAGCCUGCCUGACUGUGAAGGAGGUUUCAGGGAGCUGAAACAUGCAGCCAAGCUGGGCUCAUCAACAGCAGAGACAUUUGCAUGAAACACCAGCCCUCCCCAGCCUGGCCUUCCACACUCUCAUGCCCCAGAUGAGAGGGGAUAGAAACAGGAUUCUAUCUGGGAACAGAGCCGAAGCUCAGCACAUGUACACAUCUCUGGGAUGUGUACAGAAUCUUCUCCUACCUAACCAACCCAGUAGAGAGCAAGGAGUUAGGGCCAGAAAUUUUAAACAACAACAACAACAACAAAAAAACCUAAGCAUAUAUUUUCAGUUCCUUUAAAAAUGUAUUAUGUUUU